UACGUAGGGCGCAAGCGUUGUCCGGAAUUAUUGGGCGUAAAGAGCUCGUAGGCGGCGUGUCGCGUCGGUUGUGAAAGCCCGGGGCUUAACUCCGGGUCUGCAGUCGAUACGGGCAUGCUUGAGUUCGGUAGGGGAGAUCGGAAUUCCUGGUGUAGCGGUGGAAUGCGCAGAUAUCAGGAGGAACACCGGUGGCGAAGGCGGAUCUCUGGGAAUAUCCUGACGCUGAGGAGCGAAAGUGUGGGGAGCGAACAGG
rnacentral:rRNA from 1 species